rnacentral:rRNA from 1 species
UCUAAGUAUAACCUGCCAGACAGGGAAACUGCGUACGGCUCAUUACACCAGCCUUAAUUUACUUGACCUUGACAACCUACUUGGAAAACUGUGGUCAUUCUAGAGCUAAUACACGCACCAAAGCUCCGAUCCUCGCGGAGAGGAGCGCAUUUGUUCGCCACAAAACCAAGCGCCCAUCUGGGCGUCCAGUGCUGAACCAGAACAACUCAGCUGAUCGCACGGUCUUGUACCGGCGACGUGUCUUUCAAGUGUCUGCCUUAUCAACUUUCGAUGGUAGUGUACCUGACUACCAUGGUUGUGACGGGUAACGGAGGAUAAGGGUUCGACUCCGGAGAAGGGGCCUGAGAAAUGGCCACUACGUCUAAGGAUGGCAGCAGGCGCGCAAAUUACCCACUCUCAACGCGAGGAGGUAGUGACGAGAAAUAACGAGACCGUUCUCAUACGAGGCCGGUUAUUGGAAUGGGUACAAUUUAAA